rnacentral:rRNA from 1 species
UACGUAGGUGGCAAGCGUUGUCCGGAUUUACUGGGCGUAAAGAGCGCGCAGGCGGUCGUUCAAGUCGCGUGUGAAAGCCCCCCGGCUCAACUGGGGAGGGUCACGCGAUACUGAUCGACUCGAAGGCAGGAGAGGGAAGUGGAAUUCCCGGUGUAGUGGUGAAAUGCGUAGAUAUCGGGAGGAACACCAGUGGCGAAGGCGACUUCCUGGCCUGUUCUUGACGCUGAGGCGCGAAAAGCUAGGGGAGCAAACAGGG